UUGCCUCAGUAACGGCGAGUGAAGCGGCAACAGCUCAAAUUUGAAAUCUGGCUCUUUCAGGGUCCGAGUUGUAAUUUGUAGAAGAUGCUUCGGGUGUGGUUCCGGUCUAAGUUCCUUGGAACAGGACGUCAUAGAGGGUGAGAAUCCCGUAUGUGACCGGCUACCUUCGCUCAUGUGAAGCUCUUUCGACGAGUCGAGUUGUUUGGGAAUGCAGCUCAAAAUGGGUGGUAAAUUUCAUCUAAAGCUAAAUAUUGGCCAGAGACCGAUAGCGCACAAGUAGAGUGAUCGAAAGAUGAAAAGCACUUUGGAAAGAGAGUUAAAUAGUACGUGAAAUUGUUGAAAGGGAAGCGCUUGCAAUCAGACUUGCACGCAGUUGAUCAUCCGGUGUUCUCACCGGUGCACUCUGCUGCGUUCAGGCCAGCAUCGGUUCUGGUGGUUGGAUAAAGGCCUUGGGAAUGUAGCUCCUUUCGGGGAGUGUUAUAGCCCUCGGUGCAAUGCAGCCUACCGGGACCGAGGACCGCGCUUCGGCUAGGAUGCUGGCGUAAUGGUUGUAAGCGACCCGUCUUGAAACACGGACCAAGGAGUCUAACAUCUAUGCGAGUGUUUGGGUGUCAAACCCAUACGCGUAAUGAAAGUGAACGGAGGUGAGAACCCUUAAGGGUGCAUCAUCGACCGAUCCUGAUGUCUUCGGAUGGAUUUGAGUAAGAGCAUAGCUGUUGGGACCCGAAAGAUGGUGAACUAUGCGUGAAUAGGGUGAAGCCAGAGGAACUCUGGUGGAGGCUCGCAGCGGUUCUGACGUGCAAAUCGAUCGUCAAUUUGCGCAUAGGGCGAAGACUAAUCGAACAUCUAGUAGCUGUCU
rnacentral:rRNA from 1 species